rnacentral:rRNA from 1 species
UACGUAGGGUGCGAGCGUUAAUCGGAAUUACUGGGCGUAAAGCGUGCGCAGGCGGUUUGAUAAGUCUGAUGUGAAAUCCCCGGGCGUCAACCUGGGAACGUGCGUUGGUAAACUAGUCAGGCUAGAGUGUAGCAGAGGGGGGUAGGAAUUCCACGUGUAGCAGUGAAAUGCGUAGAGAUGUGGAGGAAUACCGAUGGCGAAGGCAG